rnacentral:rRNA from 1 species
CGUGUAGGCGGUUUGGCAAGUCGAGUGUGAAAUCCCACGGCUCAACCGUGGAACUGCGCUCGAAACUGCCUUACUUGAGUGCGGGAGAGGUGUGCGGAAUUCCUGGUGUAGCGGUGGAAUGCGUAGAUAUCAGGAAGAACACCGGUGGCGAAGGCGGCACACUGGCCCACCACUGACGCUGAGGCGCGAAAGCGUGGGGAGCGAACG